rnacentral:piRNA from 1 species
AGCAAACAAGCAACAUCUGGGAGGGAAU